UACAGAGGUCUCAAGCGUUAGGCGGAAUCACUGGGCUUAAGGCGUGUGUAGGUGGGUUUGUAAGUACCUUGUGAAAUCCCACGGCUCAACCGUGGAACUGCCGGGCAUACUGGCGAUCUUGAGGCAUUCAGGGGCGAGCGGAACAAGUGGUGGAGCGGUGAAAUGCGUAGAUAUCACUUGGAACGCCAAUGGUGAAAACAGCUCGCUGGGAAUGAUCUGACACUGAGACGCGAAAGCCAGGGGAGCGAACGGG
rnacentral:rRNA from 1 species